GACCUUCGGGAGCUUGCACAGGUGCUGCAUGGCUGUCGUCGGCUCGUGUCGUGAGAUGUUCGGUUAAGUCCGCUAACGAGCGCAACCCUCGUCGUGUGUUAUACGUGUCACACGAUACUGCCGGUAUCAAGCCGGAGGAAGGUGGGGAUGAUGUCAAGUCAGCAUGGCCUUUAUAUCCUGGGCUACACACACGCUACAAUGGCAGAUACAAUAGGUUGCGAAACCGCGAGGUGGAGCCAAUCCUCAAAGUCUGUCUCAGUUCAGAUUGUAGGCUGCAACUCGCCUGCAUGAAGUUGGAGUUGCUAGUAAACGCAGGUCAGCUAUACUGCGUUGAAUACGUUCCCGGGGUUU
rnacentral:rRNA from 1 species